rnacentral:pre_miRNA from 1 species
AGUGGGAUAACUGGGUCAAAUGGUUUUCCAUUCCAUUUUUUCUAAGGAAUCCCCAUACUGCUUUCCACAGUGGUUACACCAAUUUGCAGUCCUACCAGCAAU